rnacentral:rRNA from 1 species
UACGAAGGGGGCUAGCGUUGCUCGGAAUCACUGGGCGUAAAGGGUGCGUAGGCGGGUUGUUAAGUCAGGGGUGAAAUCCUGGAGCUCAACUCCAGAACUGCCUUUGAUACUGGCGAUCUUGAGUCCGGGAGAGGUGAGUGGAACUGCGAGUGUAGAGGUGAAAUUCGUAGAUAUUCGCAAGAACACCAGUGGCGAAGGCGGCUCACUGGCCCGAUACUGACGCUGAGACGCGAAAGCGUGGGGAGCGAACAGG